UUUUAAUAAAUAUUUAAACUUAAUUAUAUUUUCUCUGUUUCAUAUUAAGUGUCAUUUUGACAUUUUUUACGCAGAUUAAGAAAAUUGUAUAAUAGAUAAUAUGUUCUUAUUUAAUGUGAUUAAUUAAAUGAAAAUAGUUUAAAUAAAGCUUAUUGGUUAUCCGAAAUGAUAUCUAUUAUUAUAAAACAAAGUUCUCUCACUCCUCAUGCCUCCACAUCAGCGGCCAGCUAGAUAAGUCGCUGCCUCUCAUCGCGACACGUCAGCCGACGAAACACGUCGUUUCAUUAAUACGGGAAUCUUGAUGGGCUUUCAAUUUGAGGCCUAAAGUCGCAUGAAGACAUAAAGCCUUGCCAGUAUCAAACCGCUGCGUUUUUUUUAUCAGGGUUACAAUGGCUUCAUAUGAAUCGGCUCUUGGACGCGUCGUUUAGGGUUCAUACAAAUCAGCCGUUUUCGACAUUAGAGAGAUUGUGAUUGUAGAUCGUGAUCAAGUCCUUUCGCCUUUCGUCAUAUGAAAUGUGUGUUAAGCUUUGUAAAAAGCGGUGCUUCCACAGUAUAAAUAGAAUCUGAAGCGAAGUGGUGAACUCAUGCGGCUGAACCUGCUCAUAGUCGAUUUGAAUGUCAAACGUGUUUUAUAUCGGUAUGUUGGACAUUUUAUUAGAUAUAGUAGUGUCCUCAUAUACUUAGCCUGAAGGUGAACUGUAUAUGUGUAUGUAUAUAGCUUGGUGCCAGAGACACUGGUCUCACACCAGCAGCACCACUCCUGAGAGAGAUUGCAAAAGUCGAGCCCGUAACCGUAGCUGAGCUCAAUAGCUUUGUCACCACUGCCGUGUCUGAGGAUAUUGAGUUCAUGUGCACCGGCACGGUUAUCCGGCCCGAUUCAGAGAAAGGAUGGUGUUACGUUGCUUGCUCUAAAUCUAGCAGGAAGCUCAAGCGCACUGAAUCUGCCUUUACAUCUACCGAAUGGAGCUUACAAUCGCUGAUGACACUGAUGAAGGUAUCUUUGUUUGUUUUGAUGGUGUAAUGACAAAGCUACAUGGUCUCGAAGCACAUGAAGCUGGCCAAAUUUUGGCUGAAGACGGUGUUACCCUGAGGACUCUCGGAUGCCUCUGUUUGUUACAGGCAUGCAAGGGAAGACGCACACUUUCCAUGUCAAGUUAACCACGUAUGAUUUCACAGCAAGACGUCAAAGCUUCACUGUCACCCGUAAUAUCAAUGAAUGUGAACAUCUGCCGCUUCCCGAUUUCGUCGAUAAUGGAGGAGAUGAUAACAAUGAUCAGAAAAUUCAUGCAGAGGUCGAAUCUAGGGGGGCAGUGGUGAAGCAGCUUUGAUUGCUGCUACAGAGCCAAUUGGUGCUAUGCUUAACAAGAUGGACGACCCAGCUUCGCAAGUUGUCAAGAAGAUAUAUAAUCAACAUAAUAUGUAUUUAAAUAAUGCUUAUGCAUGAUCUCUCCCGUUUUUCGUAUUCGAGAAUCUAUUUUCGGUUUUUUUCAUUAUUUGAAUACUCUAGGUUUGAGUCAGACAACCUAUCUAUUUUCUUAUUAUAAAGGAGUGAUUUAUCUUA